rnacentral:rRNA from 1 species
GUUUGAUCAUGGCUCAGAUUGAACGCUGGCGGCAGGCCUAACACAUGCAAGUCGAACGGUAACAGGAAGAAGCUUGCUUCUUUGCUGACGAGUGGCGGACGGGUGAGUAAUGUCUGGGAAACUGCCCGAUGGAGGGGGAUAACUACUGGAAACGGUAGCUAAUACCGCAUAACGUCGCAAGACCAAAGAGGGGGACCUUCGGGCCUCUUGCCAUCGGAUGUGCCCAGAUGGGAUUAGCUUGUUGGUGAGGUAACGGCUCACCAAGGCGACGAUCCCUAGCUGGUCUGAGAGGAUGACCAGCCACACUGGAACUGAGACACGGUCCAGACUCCUACGGGAGGCAGCAGUGGGGAAUAUUGCACAAUGGGCGCAAGCCUGAUGCAGCCAUGCCGCGUGUAUGAAGAAGGCCUUCGGGUUGUAAAGUACUUUCAGCGGGGAGGAAGGGAGUAAAGUUAAUACCUUUGCUCAUUGACGUUACCCGCAGAAGAAGCACCGGCUAACUCCGUGCCAGCAGCCGCGGUAAUACGGAGGGUGCAAGCGUUAAUCGGAAUUACUGGGC